rnacentral:rRNA from 1 species
UACGUAGGGUGCGAGCGUUGCCCGGAUUUAUUGGGCGUAAAGGGCGCGUAGGCGGCUCUGCACGUCCGUUGUGAAAUCGCCCGGCUCAACUGGGCGGGGUUAGCGGAUACGGCGGAGCUUGAGCAAGCUAGGGGGCAAUGGAAUUCCCGGUGUAGUGGUGGAAUGCGUAGAUAUCGGGAGGAAUACCGGUGGGGUAGACGGCUCUCUGGACCGCCACUGACGCUGAGACACGAAAGCGUGGGUAGCAAACAGG